rnacentral:rRNA from 1 species
ACCAAACUGCUAUUGGGAUUCGACUAAGCCAUGCAAGUCUUCCGCAAGGAGGCAAAAGGCUGAGUAACACGUAGGCAACCUGCCUUCAGGAGGGAAAUAACCUCGGGAAACUGAGGAUAAUGUCCCAUAGGCUUAGGAUAUUGGAAUAUUCCUAAGUUGAAAGCUUCGGCGCCUGAAGAUGGGCCUGCGACUUAUCAGGUUGUUGGUAGUGUAAUGGACUACCAAGCCUUUGACGAGUAGGGGCAGUGAAAGCUGGAGCCCCCAGACGAGUACUGAGACACGGACUCGAGCCCUACGGGGUGCAGCAGGCGCGAAACCUCCGCAAUGCACGCAAGUGUGACGGGGGGAUCCCAAGUGUUCUUCCCUUAAAGAAGAACUUUUCUCACGUGUAAAUAGCUUGAGGAAUAAGGGCUGGGUAAGACGGGUGCCAGCCGCCGCGGUAAUACCCGCAGCUCAAGUGGUUUGGAGUUUUAUUGGGUCUAAAGCGUUCGUAGCUGGGUCUGUAAGUUCUCUGUGAAAUCUGGCAGCUUAACUGUCAGGCGUGCAGAGGAUACUGCUGACCUUGGGACCGGAGUGGGCCAAAGGUACUCCUGGGGUAGGGGUGAAAUCCAAUAAUCCCGGGGGGACCANCUGUGGUUAAGACGUUUGGCUAAGACGGGUCCGACAGUGAGGGACGAAAGCUAGGGGAGCGAACGGGAUUAGAUACCCCGGUAGUCCUAGCCGUAAAUGAUGCAAACUAGGUGUUGCAGCCUUUUCGUGAGGUUGCAGUGCCGAAGNGAAGCCGUUAAGUUUGCCACCUGGGAAGUACGGUCGCAAGGCUGAAACUUAAAGGAAUUGACGGGGGAGCACCACAAGGGGUGGAGUCUGCGGUUUAAUUGGAUUCAACGCCGGAAAUCUCACCGGGGGCGACAGCACAAUGAAGGUCAGGUUGACGAUCUUACUAAAGUCGCUGAGAGGUGGUGCAUGGCCGUCGUCAGUUCGUGCCGUGAGGUGUUCGGUUAAGUCCGACAACGAACGAGACCCACGCUCCCAGUUGCUAAUCUUUUCUCCGGAAAAGGUGCACUCUGGCGGGACCGCUGCUGAUGAAGCAGAGGAAGGAGUGGGCAACGGUAGGUCAGUAUGCCCCGAAUCCCCCGGGCUACACGCGGACUACAAUGACUGGAACAAUGAGCUGCAACGCCGUGAGGCGAAGCCAAUCUCUAAAUCCAGCCUUAGUUCCGAUCGAGCGCUGUAACUCGCGCUCGUGAAGCCGGAAUCCCUAGUAAUCGGAUGUCACUAUCGUCCGGUGAAUAUGUCCCUGCUCCUUGUACACACCGCCCGUCAAAUCACCUGAGUUGGGUUUGGAUGAGGCUUUAUUUUAUUGGUAAAGUCGAAUCUGGGCUCAGCAAGGGGGGUU